rnacentral:rRNA from 1 species
GACGAACGCUGGCGGCGUGCUUAACACAUGCAAGUCGAACGGAGAGGCCCUUCGGGGUACUCGAGUGGCGAACGGGUGAGUAACACGUGGGUGAUCUGCCCUGCACUUUGGGAUAAGCCUGGGAAACUGGGUCUAAUACCGAAUAGGACCACGCGCUUCAUGGUGUGUGGUGGAAAGCUUUUGCGGUGUGGGAUGGGCCCGCGGCCUAUCAGCUUGUUGGUGGGGUAAUGGCCUACCAAGGCGACGACGGGUAGCCGGCCUGAGAGGGUGACCGGCCACACUGGGACUGAGAUACGGCCCAGACUCCUACGGGAGGCAGCAGUGGGGAAUAUUGCACAAUGGGCGCAAGCCUGAUGCAGCGACGCCGCGUGAGGGAUGACGGCCUUCGGGUUGUAAACCUCUUUCACCAGGGACGAAGCGUAAGUGACGGUACCUGGAGAAGAAGCACCGGCCAACUACGUG